UACGUAGGGGGCUAGCGUUGUCCGGAAUUAUUGGGCGUAAAGCGCGCGCAGGCGGUCCUUUAAGUCUGAUGUGAAAGCCCACGGCUCAACCGUGGAGGGUCAUUGGAAACUGGGGGACUUGAGUACAGAAGAGAAGAGUGGAAUUCCACGUGUAGCGGUGAAAUGCGUAGAGAUGUGGAGGAACACCAGUGGCGAAGGCGACUCUUUGGUCUGUAACUGACGCUGAGGCGCGAAAGCGUGGGGAGCAAACAGG
rnacentral:rRNA from 1 species